GAGAAUGUGAAGUAUUGAUUACAGCUCCAAUCUCUCUGUUACUGUCUCCUUCAGUGUAAUGCAAUAUUAAUAUUGUUUGUUUUAACUGAGUUUUAAUCAAAUCACACUCAUUGGUCUAUCCCCAUACCUUCUUGAUCAUCCUUAACAGGAAAUAAAAUGACACACCUUGACCUAAUAUGUCUAACAUUACUUUAUGUUCAAUAUUUUAGAGGCAUUUCGACAGCUCAUUUUGGUCAACCGAUCCAAACGGCCAAGCAAAGAGUUGAAAUGCUACAGCAAAGCUCUACAUGAGCUGAUCAAAGCGGUUUCUAACCAUCCUUGCCAGUUUGGCAGUGAUCAUGAUCUGCAUGACAGUAAUGAGGACCUGAGUGGAGACUCUACAGCUACCCCGCUUCAGGACUCCCAGGUGCUGUUUACAGAAACAGAUGUGACCUUGCCUUCCUGUCUGGAUGAUAGCCCCGGGUCCCAGGAAAAUGAGACCGACAGGAAGUUGCAGAGAGCUCGCCAACUCCCUGACUCAUGCCGUUCCUCUUCCUUAGUACUAGUGAAGGUGUACCAGGAGAUGAUGACCAUCUACAAACAACUAAAGGUGAGAAAGCAGAACCAUUGUAACGGCGUUUAUCCGUGAAUCCAGAUGGGGCAAAUACAGAACAGAGAAGCUGACCCGGUGUAAGAUUCCU
rnacentral:lncRNA from 1 species